rnacentral:rRNA from 1 species
GACGAACGCUGGCGGCGUGCUUAACACAUGCAAGUCGAACGGUGAAGCGCUUUCCUUUUUGGUUGGUGUGGAUGAGUGGCGAACGGGUGAGUAACACGUGAGUAACCUGCCCCCUUCUUCUGGAUAACCGCAUGAAAGUGUGGCUAAUACGGGAUAUUCUGCGCCUGCUGCAUGGUGGGUGUGGGAAAGAUUGUGCCUUUGGGUGUUUUCGGUGGGGGAUGGGCUCGCGGCCUAUCAGCUUGUUGGUGGGGUGAUGGCCUACCAAGGCGGUGACGGGUAGCCGGCCUGAGAGGGUGGACGGUCACACUGGGACUGAGACACGGCCCAGACUCCUACGGGAGGCAGCAGUGGGGAAUAUUGCACAAUGGGCGCAAGCCUGAUGCAGCGACGCCGCGUGAGGGAUGGAGGCCUUCGGGUUGUGAACCUCUUUCGCCAGUGAAGCAGGCCUGCUUCCUUGUGGGUGGGAUGACGGAGCUGAUAAGAAGCGCCGCA